CACUCCUGCGGGAGGCAGCAGUGGGGAAUAUUGGACAAUGGGCGCAAGCAUGAUCCAGCCAUGCCGCGUGAGUGAUGAAGGCCCUAGGGUUGUAAAGCUCUUUCACCGGUGAAGAUAAUGACGGUAACCGGAGAAGAAGCCCCGGCUAACUUCGUGCCAGCAGCCGCGGUAAUACGAAGGGGGCUAGCGUUGUUCGGAUUUACUGGGCGUAAAGCGCACGUAGGCGGACUAUUAAGUCAGGGGUGAAAUCCCGGGGCUCAACCCCGGAACUGCCUUUGAUACUGGUAGUCUUGAGUUCGAGAGAGGUGAGUGGAAUUCCGAGUGUAGAGGUGAAAUUCGUAGAUAUUCGGAGGAACACCAGUGGCGAAGGCGGCUCACUGGCUCGAUACUGACGCUGAGGUGCGAAAGCGUGGGGAGCAAACAGGAUUAGAAACCCGUGUAGUCCCAUG
rnacentral:rRNA from 1 species